AGAAUAUAAGAACCCGUUUCUUAACUUUUAACUAAAAAACCUAAGAAUCGGUUCUUAAAUAAGAGUUUUAAGAGUCGGUUAUUAACUUUUUUAGUUAAAAGUAUAAGAGACGAGUUCUUAUAUUCC
rfam:Brassica napus, WGS project CCCW01000000 data, contig: 4634